rnacentral:rRNA from 1 species
GAUGAACGCUGGCGGCGUGCCUAAUACAUGCAAGUCGAACGAGGUGCUUGAGUAGCAAUACAAGAGUAUCCUAGUGGCGAACGGGUGAGUAACGCGUUGGUGACCUACCCCAAAGUGUGGGAUAACAGUUCGAAAGAACUGCUAAUACCGCAUGUGGUUAUUGGAUAUAGAAACUGAUAACUAAAGGAGCAAUUCGCUUUGGGAGGGACCUGCGUCCCAUCAGCUAGUUGGUGAGGUAAUGGCUCACCAAGGCUACGACGGGUAGGGGACCUGAGAGGGUGACCCCCCACAAUGGAACUGAAACACGGUCCAUACACCUACGGGUGGCAGCAGUAGGGAAUAUUGCACAAUGGGCGAAAGCCUGAUGCAGCAACGCCGCGUGUGCGAUGAAGGCCUUCGGGUCGUAAAGCACUUUUCUGAGGGAUGAGCAAGGACAGUACCUCAGGAAUAAGUCUCGGCUAACUACGUGCCAGCAGCCGCGGUAA